AAAUGGAGAGACCAUGCAAAUUGUCCUGGCUAAUUAUGCCAGUGUGGAAGUCUGGGUACUUGAAAUGCAUUAAAACACACAGACAUACGCAUAGGGGUUUAGUCAUUGGAACAAAACAAGAGUUGGAAUUGAAGGCUGGUCUCUGGGUGAGAACAGUGUGUCUGCAAAGGCCCUUUUGACAAUGAACUUGAGACAUCUCAUUAACAUGCAGGAGAUGGCCUGUCAAGUUCAGGACAUACUGAGUUCCCAUGCAAAAAGACAGAAAAGUGAAUUCAUUGUGCAUUUUCUACGGACCAUUAGACUGGCUUCCAAAGAGACCCUCAAAAUCAGCCCUGGAAACCAGACUUCAAAAAAUGCAGAUUGGGGCAUACGUAGUAGGCAAUGUUCACUCUCCCCGCAGGGAAAGGAUAAUUCUGCUAAUUAAACACUUGACUUGUCAAAUACAUUUUAAAUUAAAAUAAAUAAAUAAAAGGUUUCAUAUUAAUUCAUUACCUUUACCAUGUGGGGGGAGGGGGAGGGCAGUGUUUUUGUCCCAACUAGCCAAAUUGCCUGAUUUCCUACAUCAGUAAUACCAAUGUAUACCAAUGAAUAUUCCUUUCAAUUGUAAGGGGAAAGACCCAUUUUUAGUAAAAUGUAUACAGUAUGGAUUAUUGUGAAUUAGUAUAUUUUUUUAAAUUCAUUAUACUAUUUGAAUUUUUUCAUAUACUGAAAAAUACGAGUUUAUUAAAAAAAAAUGAUGAGAGCACAGAGUGGAUUGAGAGAGAGGAGGAGAAGACAUCCCAUACUUCAUUCAACACCAUGGCCACUCCUCCAUUUUCAACCCUGCCCCAAUCAACAUUUUCUUAGGUGCCAACUCAAAGGAAUUCAAGGAGGAGCCAGAGGAUAAAGCAGUAUUUAUGUGAAAAGAUCCUGUGAUGAUUGUGUUCACUCAUUUUUUUUUGUAAUCAGGUUUGGGUGGAGAGGCUCUUGAAAAAAAAAAUAAGCAUUGUGGGUGUUGGUGCUGGUGCUGUGGUUCCAGGAACAUUGUUAUCUUUCAGCGCAAAAGCUUUAAAUGUUGGUUCCUCGGGCUGAAAAGGGAGAGUGAAUGCAUCUGCAAAAAGAAAGGAGGAAAAGGAAGAAUCACAAGUUGCAGCCCAGGAAAAAUUCUGAAUGGACAGUACCAUGUUACGUCAUCAAGCAACAGCCACAAGAGGGUAGGAUGCAGGGGAAGCGACUCAUUUCAUUAACACCCGCAAGAAUGCUGCAUCCGUCGGAUAAAAAUCCCUGCACUUUAUGAGUCUUGAGUGAGGAGUUUCAGAUGCAGAAGAACUCAUGCGGCGUGCAAGAGAUGAAGACCGAAGACUCAACGUAACUGAAAAUGAACGGUGGCGGUGGUGGGAUAAACAGGGGUUGGUUGUUAUCUUUGGUUAUCUAGCUGUAUGAGUGUUGUCAAUCCUUCAUAAAGCUAGAUAACCGAAAGUAAAAAUAACCCCAUUACACUCCUUGGCAUUGGCAGUGGUCUUUCUGCUCACGUCAACGCAAAAGAACAUGGCUGCCAAAAAAACAAAGACAGAAGAAUUUAAGAAAGGUCCAGAGACAAAGAACAUGAAAAAAAAACCUCUCGCUUUACUCCUGGAAUUAAAUCUGGAGGUAGGAUUUUUUUUAUCAUCAGUCUCCUAUGAAGUUUUAUGAAUUUCCUGCUCUUGUUCUUUGGACUCAAGACAACCUUGCCAUGUUUGGUCUUUGACUUGGUUUAAAAAGUCCAGUAUAAAAGACAACUUUCUAACACAGACACUAAAUAUGGAAGAGACGCUUUUGACAAUUGGAUUAUGUAUAUAAACUCUCAGCAUACUCAACCAGCUCAUUGACUGGUAGCUUCCUUGGGCUAACAUAGCCGUCUGAUUGGAUCAUAUUCCUGUGAAACUUAGAAAUAUUGAUUAUGUCUACAGCUAUGAUUUUGGGCAGAAGAAAAAUGCAUAUUUGUGAGGGAUGUAUUUUUAUAUUAUUAUUUUUUUGCGUUGUAAAAAUAAGUAUUGAGAUUUUUUUUCUACCCAUUAUUGAGGGUGUUUUUUAAAUAUAGUUUUUUUAAAAAUGUAGUUUUCAGAAGAAAGGUUUUUUUUUCUUCUAUUUUAAUAUAACGAGAAUUAAACUUCUGAAAUAACCCAGUCUAACAUUAAAUCCCAUUUAUAGAAUGAACUGAUUUCUUUGUAAAUCCAUGCACACCAUAUUUCUUUCAGUAUGUUUGAAGACACUGAGCUGCAGAUGUAGAUUUGUUUAAGCCUGCAUGCGUGUUUUGUUCGACACAUCUCUUGUAUGUGCUUUGAGCUAUUCCAGACAGAGGAUCCAUGCUUCUCUCGCCUGUGUGAUUUAGCUUGUGUAAUUGACUUGUUUUACACUAGAAUGAGUUUGUAAGAAAACUUUUUUUUAAAUUUCACUCUAUGGAAGAAACGUUUGACCAGAAGUCAUUGCCUGCUGAGAAGGAUUGAGUUUUAAUCCCAACCCCAAAUGAAAGGAUUAUGCAUUAAGCAAAUGCCAUAAAAUAGAAAAAGAUCUGGUUAAGAGAAAGGGGGGAAGUAAACUAUACAUGGAAAAAAGUAAUUUAACCCUAUACAAGCAAGCUAGUUGAAAGAUAAUGAUGGGAAUUAAAAGAGUGCUUGGAAGAUUGUACGUCAUAUCAACUUUAAGACUAAACUUCUGUUCUAAAUGAAUGAUUAAAUAUCUAUAAAUACAUAUAUUAUUUAACGAGAACUAAUGGUGCCUGAAGAUAUUUUCAAUUAAAUGGUAAAGUCCAGCUUGCACUGCAGUGAUUUACAAGGUAUUUAACAUGAGAACAAUGUAUUUGGUCUCCUGAAAGAAGAUUUUAAGCAUGGGAUCUUCUAAAGUAGCCAUUUGAUGGAAGACACUAGCCUAGAGGGUGCACUGGAUAAUGGGAACAUAAGAGAUUCAUGCCUAAGAGCUGGAAGCCCAGAGGUUAUGUAGGCUAGGGGAACAAGCUUCAAAAAGCUUAGAAGUUACCAAUAUAAUUGGGGACUUCUCUUUAAAGCUUAAGGUCUAGUAGCAUGAAAGAGGACAAGCAUUUAACCAAUACUGAAUUAAACACUAAAUUCAUCCAAUUAUAACAUGAACCCUCUUUUUAAACAACACAUAUUUUGAAAUGCUGUUGCUUAACUUGCAGUCCAUCUAAUUAAAAUCAGUAUGGUUUAGUGCAGGGUUGUCAACUCCAACCCUUCUCCCACUUUAACUCCAUUUCCCAGCAUCCUCAGCCAAUUAAUGUCUGACAAAAAGCUUGUCAGAACUUCUCACUGUAGUGACAAUCUCUCACAUGAAACCUUUAUCUAGAAUGUUUUCCAGUGUAUAUUCCACCUGGAAAGGAAUUGUUUAAAAUUGAUAUAAUGCCAUUACUGUUAUCUCAUAUUUAUGAAGCAGCAAUAUGGCUUUGUACUCUUGAUAGAUUUUUUUAAGGAUGUUAUUUAAGGUUGACCUUCCAUAUAUUUAUACAGUACCUUGUCUUCAAUUUCAUUCAAUGUGAUACAUUUGAAAGCUUUCAAGGAGUCUCCCAACCUUUAGUUGGUUUUGCAACUGGAGGGCUUUUGAUUAAGCAUUCUUAGUCUAAAGCUAUAGGAAACAUUUUAAACAGAAGGAAGAAAUAAAUCAAUUUUGGGGAAAAUCAAAAAGUUCUUCUGAACUUAUUACAGCAGAAAGUACAGCAUUAAAAAAAUACUUAGGACAAUAGAUAUGAACUCCAUUGAUGAGCUUCUAAGAAAACGAGGAGAUAUUUAGACAAAUCUGUAGGAGAAUAGUAUUUAAUAAUAAUAAUAAUAAUAAUAAUAAUAAUAAUAAUAAUAAUAAUAAUAAUAAUAAUAAUAAAAUAUCUAAUCUAUUUGGCCACCAGUCACCAGACUCCACUUUAAACCUUGUAGCGCUUCAAACCUAAGAUGACCUGUUCUGCUUACAUGGACUUCUCCACAGUUGGGUCCCAUUGCUGUUUCUGUUUUAAGGCUCCUGUAAACUGCCAGUCUUUGUUAUAUUGUCAUUAUUUUGUCAUGGACUUCACCAUAGCAUUGAACUUCUUUAUGACCCUUAACCAGUUAGGAAUUGUAAGGCUUUACAAUUUGAAUAACCCUGGAGUUGACCUUUCUUAAAUAGAAUGGGUGUAAUAUACCAAAUACACUCUAUUAUUCCACUCUCUUAUUUUUAAGGUCUUUAAAAUCUGUUGUCAUUUGUUUAUUCCACUUCCAUGUGCUUCGAUCUUCUCUGAAUAGUCAAUAGAAUCCAAGGCUAAACUUUAAUGAGGUAUUUUGUUGUAGAAUAUGUUUUUUAAAAUUAAAAUAUAUUGCUUUGGGUCUUGACAUUUGUCAGAUGUGAGAAAACUGCUAGCAAGGAAAUAGACUUUUUAGCUCUCUUGGAGGUCAAAUCCAGGAACUUAAUGAGAGGACCAUCCUGUCCUAGGUCAAGCAGUAAAUGGAAAGGCAUAUUAGAACCCAUUUUUUAUUAUUAUUAUUAUCUAAUGCACCGACCAUACAACCAUCACAAAAUAAUCUCUCAAAUUGUUAGGCCAUUCCUGUAAGAAAGAAAUGUGAAGCUACAAGCAACUCUUUCUACAAAUACUAUCAACAAAUUCAAAUAUAAAAAUGUAUUUUAGAUGGGAAUUUCAAUUUUAAAAAAUGGAAGGAAUUAACCAAAUAAGUGAAAAUGUAGUGUUUUAUACUAACAACUUGCACUUAAAUAAUACAGUUAGCCUUUGCCUAGCAAGUCAAGUUUUUAGCAUUUUUAUAUAGACAUAUCUCUAGUGCAUUUGCCUUCAUUUUAUAUCGAGUUUUGCCUUUUUUAUGUUAUUGUACAGAAUGUAUUUAAUUAAUUUUUUUCAUUUUACAUUAUUUUAUAUAUUUUCUUUUCAUGCCAUGCUCAUUUUUGAAAAUCCAAAACAGUUCAUAUUUUCCAUUGUAUUCCGCAUAAAAAGCAUUUUCCACAUUAGAUGUUAUGUUACCAUCUGUGUAAAAUUGCUGUUUCCAUCCCAUUCAUUUAAAUACUGUGCUUCUAGAAUGUUCUGUACAACUGCAUGUCUGGCCUUGGGUGGCACAAAUAUUUAAUCUGGAUUUUGCUGACUAUGAACCUAAUAAAUCUUGAGUUUGUUUCCCAAAA